CGCGUAGGCGGUUUGUUUAGUUAGGCGUGAAAUUCCUGGGCUUAACCUGGGGACUGCGCUUAAUACAGGCAGACUUGAGUUCGGAGGAGGGUCGUGGAAUUCCCAGUGUAGAGGUGAAAUUCGUAGAUAUUGGGAAGAACACCGGUGGCGAAGGCGGCGACCUGGUCCGAUACUGACGCUGAGGCGCGAAAGCGUGGGGAGCAAACA
rnacentral:rRNA from 1 species